ensembl:Y_RNA Y_RNA Y RNA
GGCUGGUCCGAGUGCAGUGGUGUUUACAAAUAAUUAGUCACAACCAGUUACAGAUGUCUUUGUUCCUUCUCCAUCCCCCUGCUUCACUUGGUCAGCCUUGA